rnacentral:rRNA from 1 species
CAAGCGUUGUUCGGAAUUACUGGGCGUAAAGGGCUCGUAGGCGGCCAACUAAGUCGGACGUGAAAUCCCUCGGCUCAACCGGGGAACUGCGUCCGAUACUGGAUGGCUUGAGUUCGGGAGAGGGAUGCGGAAUUCCAGGUGUAGCGGUGAAAUGCGUAGAUAUCUGGAGGAACACCGGUGGCGAAGGCGGCAUCCUGGACCGACACUGACGCUGAGGAGCGAAAGCCAGGGGAGCAAACGGG